GUUCCUGUCCUGAGCCUUUCCAUAAUCCCCUUCUCAGGCCUCCACUUCCACUCCCUUUAGCAAACUAAUAUGUGGAUCCAGAGCCAUUGAUGAGUGCUUUUUAAAAAGACACAGAAAGACAAGCUUUCAUGGUAUGAGCCUCCAACUCUAUCCCUGAGGACCUUACGACCUAUUUGGGGAGAAGAAAGAUGUGAAAGGCAAGACGGGGCACAUAUGUUCAAUGCUGAGGCUUCCCUGGUGGCUCAGUGGUAAAAAAAAUCCAUCUGCCAAUGCAAGAGACACGGG